rnacentral:rRNA from 1 species
UACGAAGGGGGCUAGCGUUGCUCGGAAUCACUGGGCGUAAAGGGUGCGUAGGCGGGUCUUUAAGUCAGGGGUGAAAUCCUGGAGCUCAACUCCAGAACUGCCUUUGAUACUGAGGAUCUUGAGUUCGGGAGAGGUGAGUGGAACUGCGAGUGUAGAGGUGAAAUUCGUAGAUAUUCGCAAGAACACCAGUGGCGAAGGCGGCUCACUGGCCCGAUACUGACGCUGAGGCACGAAAGCGAUGGG